rnacentral:rRNA from 1 species
GACGAACGCUGGCGGCGUGCCUAAUACGUGCAAGUAGAACGCUGAAGGAGGAGCUUGCUCUUCUGGAUGAGUUGCGAACGGGUGAGUAACGCGUAGGUAACCUGCCUGGUAGCGGGGGAUAACUAUUGGAAACGAUAGCUAAUACCGCAUAAGAGUAGAUGUUGCAUGACAUUUACUUAAAAGGUGCAAUUGCAUCACUACCAGAUGGACCUGCGUUGUAUUAGCUAGUUGGUGGGGUAACGGCUUACCAAGGCGACGAUACAUAGCCGACCUGAGAGGGUGAUCGGCCACACUGGGACUGAGACACGGCCCAGACUCCUACGGGAGGCAGCAGUAGGGAAUCUUCGGCAAUGGACGGAAGUCUGACCGAGCAACGCCGCGUGAGUGAAGAAGGUUUUCGGAUCGUAAAGCUCCGUUGUAAGAGAAGAACGAGUGUGAGAGUGGAAAGUUCACACUGUGACGGUAUCUUACCAGAAAGGGACGGCUAACUACGUG